UAAUGGUUUGGUCGUUCUAAUUCCGUAACCCCGAUCAGGUGUCAUAAAUAGUUCGAUGCCGGUAAACCACUGAUAUUUUUGAAUCUUUUGGUUGGAACAUUUUUCUUCGCAAGGGCACGAAGAGGGAUUGCACUCUACAUACAUCAUUCUUUUUAAAAAAUUGAAUGAGAAAAAAUGGAUCAAAUAAGUAAAAAUUUGGCCAAACUUUCGUUAUACUACGACUAUCGUUAUAGGACACUGGGCCGAAAAAUAGCCAUUAAAAAAUUAAAAGAGUAUUCAGCAAUUUUUAACCAGGAGCAAUUACCUACCUCACAAGGAAACUGACUCAAUAAAUGCUUGUGGGCAAUUAGAAGAUGGAGAAAAUGUCCAUACCCGAUAAGAGAGAUUUGGCUAGAAUCUCGAAAUGCGACAUCAGCUUUAAUAAAUUUAGUUAUAUAAUAUCUUUUGGAAUUAAUCAAGGAACUGCUCAAGUGAA